GAUGAACGCUGGCGGCGUGCCUAAUACAUGCAAGUCGAGCGAACAGACGAGGAGCUUGCUCCUCUGACGUUAGCGGCGGACGGGUGAGUAACACGUGGAUAACCUACCUAUAAGACUGGGAUAACUUCGGGAAACCGGAGCUAAUACCGGAUAAUAUAUUGAACCGCAGGGUUCAAUAGUGAAAGACGGUUUUGCUGUCACUUAUAGAUGGAUCCGCGCCGCAUUAGCUAGUUGGUAAGGUAACGGCUUACCAAGGCAACGAUGCGUAGCCGACCUGAGAGGCUGAUCGGCCACACUGGAACUGGGCCACGGUCCAGACUCCUACGGGAGGCAGCAGUAGGGAAUCUUCGGCAAUAGGCGAAAGCCUGACGGAGCAACGCCGCGUGAGUGAUGAAGGUCUUCGGAUCGUAAAACUCUGUUAUUAGGGAAGAACAAAUGUGUAAGUAACUAUGCACGUCUUGACGGUACCUAAUCAGAAAGCCCCGGCUAACUACGUG
rnacentral:rRNA from 1 species